rnacentral:lncRNA from 1 species
GAACGCCGCCUUCUUCACUUCCACUUUUCCUUUGACUAUAUCGUUCCACCACCAUUCGCCCUGAUAACUGCCUGAGUAUCUUUUGGCCACCCCGAGCACGUCCCGUGCUACCCCCCUAAUCAAGGUCGCCGUCGCUGUCCACAUAGCAUCCGCUUCCCCAGAACUCCUCCAAGCUCCGCCCUCAACUAACCUCCUUUCCAACUCCUGCGCUUUUUCCUUUGA